UUAACCUUCUGCUCAGGAAACAGGUCAUUCCUGCUUUGCAUAUCAAAAAACUCGAGUUUACCUGCAACCAUGAACACAUUCCUUCUGCUCCUGUUGCUGCUGGUCGCUCUUGCCGGCAUCACCACGGCCUUGCCUCAGCGGGUCGUGCUCACCAAGAAGCGUUUCCCCGGAGAGAGGACCCUGGGGAGGACCAACUACGGGCAACACAGCUUCGGCAGGAGAGGGUACAAGAAGAAGUCUAACCCUAGAAAACGGGACUGAAAAUAGAUACAGCCUUGAAUCAGCUUUGAGGUUAACAAGCUCUUUUUUGGAGAUGAAGAAGAAAAGAAAAAAACAACAAAAUCCUGGAAGUAACUGAUGUCUACCACGCUAUCAACCUACUCUCAAGGGACGAAGAUUUUUCUUGCCUUAGUAUACGCAAAUAAUCAGACACAAAACAACACACACUACAACCUAUCUGUACAAAAAGUGGUGAACUAGACGUCAAAGUGUAUAGUAUACUUGCAGACAAAGUAACAUUAUAGUUAGCUGUCUUGGGGUGUUCAAUAGUGUAUACUUCUUACAAGACUAAAUACAUAAUGGUUAGUUAUCCUUAGGUAUCAGGUGUUACAGUAUUUCAUGUCUUAUAGUGAUGUAUGUUUGUAAUACAAUUUGUGAUAUAAUCUUUGUAAUAUAGUUUGUAUAUUUUGUGAGAGUACCUGUGAUAGUUUGUAUAAUUUGUGAUUUCGUCGUGAUAGUGAUAUUUUUAUGCCAAAUACUACAUUGUGAUUAUUAACCAUAAAAACAAUAACAUAUGUGUAUUUAUUUUGUACAUUUCCAUUGUGUUCCUGCAAUAAAUGAAUACUGUAUA